rnacentral:tRNA from 1 species
CGCAAUAGCUCAGUCGGUAGAGCAUUUCAUUCGUAACGAAAAGGUCGCGGGUUCGAGUCC